CAGCAGCCACGGUAAGACAGAGGUCCCGAGCGUUGUUCGGAUUCAUUGGGCGUAAAGGGUGUGUAGGAGGCCAGGUAAGUCAGGUGUGAAAUCUCAGAGCUUAACUCUGAAACUGCGCUUGAUACUGCUUGGCUAGAGGAUCGGAGGGGGUAACGGAAUUUAUGGUGUAGCAGUGAAAUGCGUAGAUAUCAUAAGGAACACCGGUGGCGAAGGCGGUUACCUGGAAGAUUCCUGACUCUGAAACACGAAAGUCAGGGGAGCAAACGGGAUUAGAUACCCGAGUAGUCCCUGUCUCUUAUAC
rnacentral:rRNA from 1 species